GCGCGUGGCCCCUUUAAGUGUCGUUUUCCGGUUCCGCCUGCUCUCACUCAGUUCGCGGCAAACGCGAUUGAGGAGAGGUUGGUGAGCUCCUAAGGAAGGCACAUACUCAGCUUUGCCAUUUGUUUGCUUUAUUCAUGCAGAAUAAAAGCCUGUUAAUUCC